rnacentral:rRNA from 1 species
UUCCUUGAACCGCAUGGUUCAAGGAUGAAAGACGGUUUCGGCUGUCACUUACAGAUGCAAGACCCGCGGCGCAUUAGCUAGUUGGUGGGGUAAUGGCUCACCAAGGCGACGAUGCGUAGCCGACCUGAGAGGGUGAUCGGCCACACUGGGACUGAGACACGGCCCAGACAUCCUACGGGAGGCAGCAGUAGGUAGAAUCUUCCGCAAUGGACGAAAGUCUGACGGAGCAACGCCGCGUGAGUGAUGAAGGUUUUCGGAUCGUAAAGCUCUGUUGUUAGGGAAGAACAAGUGCGAGAGUAACUGCUCGCACCAGUUGACGGUACCUAACCAGAAAGCCACGGCUAACUACGUGCCAGCAGCCGCGGUAAUACGUAGGUGGCAACGCGUUGUCCGGAAUUAUUGGGCGUAAAGGGCUCGCAGGCGGUUUCUUAAGUCUGAUGUGAAAGCCCCCGGCUCAACCGGGGAGGGUCAUUGGAAACUGGGAAACUUGAGUGCAGAAGAGGAGAGUGGAAUUCCACUGUGUAGCGGUGAAAUGCGUAGAGAUCGUGGAGGAACACGCAGUGGCGAAAGGCGACUCUCUGGUCUGUAACUGACGCU